rnacentral:rRNA from 1 species
CGGGACGGGUGAGUAAUGUCUGGGAAACUGCCUGAUGGAGGGGGAUAACUACUGGAAACGGUAGCUAAUACCGCAUAACGUCGCAAGACCAAAGAGGGGGACCUUCGGGCCUCUUGCCAUCGGAUGUGCCCAGAUGGGAUAGCUAGUAGGUGGGGUAACGGCUCACCUAGGCGACGAUCCCUAGCUGGCUGAGAGGAUGACCAGCCACACUGGAACUGAGACACGGUCCAG